CUGCCCAGUGACACUAGUUAAACGGCCGCGGUAUCCUGACCGUGCAAAGGUAGCAUAAUCACUUGUUCUCUAAAUAAGGACUAGUAUGAAUGGCCACACGAGGGUUUCACUGUCUCUUACUUCCAAUCCGUGAAAUUGACCUUCCCGUGAAGAGGCGGGAAUACAAAAAUAAGACGAGAAGACCCUAUGGAGCUUCAAUUAAUUAAUCCAAGGAGAUCAACACACACCGACAGGAACAACAAACCUCCACAAUGGGUUAACAAUUUAGGUUGGGGUGACCUCGGAGCAUAAAACAACCUCCGAAUGAUUUAAAUCAAGACUUACCAGUCAAAAGUAUUACAUCACUUAUUGAUCCAAACAAACAUUUGAUCAACGGAACAAGUUACCCUAGGGAUAACAGCGCAAUCCUAUUUUAGAGUCCAUAUCGACAAUAGGGUUUACGACCUCGAUGUUGGAUCAGGACAUCCCGAUGGUGCAGCAGCUAUCAAAGGUUCGUUUGUUCAACGAUUAAAGUCCUACGUGAUCU
rnacentral:rRNA from 1 species